GCGUGGUCGCAACUCGUACACUAUAUCACUAUUGAGUAAACAAUGAGGGAGUAAACUUCUUUCUUCAUAUGAGAUAGAUGAACGAACUGUUAAUUAAAUCCGAGAUCAUUGAAAGGUUCGAAUGAUCUUUGAGUUUCAAAGCAGAACGUGGAGCAAAUGUAGCUAGAUUUCAAUAGUUGAUCUGAGAGUGUCAAUAGAACCGCUGCUUUCAGCGAGAAUUAGCAGGUAAUUUCACAGACAAGUUCAGUGGCAAUAGAUACAAAUGUAGUGCAAACAUAGUUAAGACUCAAUGUUGCAGAAUCUUUUAAGCAAUGCACUUGCUCAUCCAAUUCCUCAGGAAAUGAAAUCAUACAACAAAAAUACAGUGUAAUAUACUCUAAACACA